rnacentral:rRNA from 1 species
AUUGAACGCUGGCGGCAGGCCUAACACAUGCAAGUCGAACGGUAACAGGAAGAAGCUUGCUUCUUUGCUGACGAGUGGCGGACGGGUGAGUAAUGUCUGGGAAACUGCCUGAUGGAGGGGGAUAACUACUGGAAACGGUAGCUAAUACCGCAUAACGUCGCAGGACCAAAGAGGGGGACCUUCGGGCCUCUUGCCAUCGGAUGUGCCCAGAUGGGAUUAGCUAGUAGGUGGGGUAACGGCUCACCUAGGCGACGAUCCCUAGCUGGCCUGAGAGGAUGACAAGCCACACUGGAACUGAGACGCAGUCCAGACUCCUACGGGAGGCAGCAGUGGGGAAUAUUGCACAAUGGGCGCAAGCCUGAUGCAGCCAUGCCGCGUGUAUGAAGAAGGCCUUCGGGUUGUAAAGUACUUUCAGCGGGGAGGAAGGGAGUAAAGUUAAUACCUUUGCUCAUUGACGUUACCCGCAGAAGAAGCACCGGCUAACUCCGUGCCAGCCGCCGCUGUAA